rnacentral:rRNA from 1 species
AACGAACGCUGGCGGCAGGCCUAACACAUGCAAGUCGAGCGAGGACUUCGGUCCUAGCGGCGGACGGGUGAGUAACGCGUGGGAACGUGCCCUUUGCUUCGGAAUAGCCCUGGGAAACUGGGAGUAAUACCGGAUGAGCCCUUUGGGGGAAAGAUUUAUCGGCGAAGGCUCGGCCCGCGUUGGAUUAGGUAGUUGGUGGGGUAAUGGCCGACCAAGCCGACGAUCCAUAGCUGGUGUGAGAGGAUGAUCAGCCACACUGGGACUGAGACACGGCCCAGACGCCUACGGGACGCAGCAGUGGGGAAUCUUAGACACUGGGGGCAGACCUGAUCUCGCCAUGCCGCGUGAGAGAUGAAGGCCUUAGGGUUGUAAAGCUCUUUCAGCUGGGAAGAUAAUGACGGUACCAGCAGAAGAAGCACCGGCUAACUCCGUG